AGCCUGUCUGGAAACAGGUUUGAGAUGUUUAUGCUGAUGGCCACUGAAAAGGACAUUCUCAUGUCAUUGGACUCCGACAUGGUCAUUGACAGGGUAGCUGAGAAGAGUGACCUGCUGAGAAAGCUGCUUUUGUAACCUGGUGGGGUGAAAUAAAAUUAUCAAAACAUUCCUAAUUAUGUUUCAGUUAAGAUUAAAUUCAACUUUAUUGUUAUUGCCUAAAAGUACAGUCAAAUGAAUAGGUUUUGUAUCUAUCUUCACUUCAAACAAGUCACGUGCUCAGAAAAUGCUUAGAAUGUGUCCAUUUUAAUAGGUUUUAAUGCAUAAGACAGUAGAUAGAAUAAAUAUUAGAUAAUAUAAAUAUGAGAGUUUUCUUACAGCCUUAAUCUGUCAUUGUUUCGUUUCAGACUGUCAGUCAAUUUUGGAAGCCUGAAGUGGGUUCAUUUUAAGUUUCCAUAUUCCAUAUGUUAAGAUAUGUUCAGUGUUGCUGCUGUGGAAGUGUUGUGGGUGACUUUUUAUUGAUGCAGGUCUAAUCAUACUUUAAGAGGUUCUCUAGACCAUGCAACUUUUUAAGUUCCUACGGUCCCAUCAUAAUUUCUUAAGAAGUACUGUAUAUGAUGUCAGUAUUUUCCAACAUUUUCUAAAUACUGUACCAGUACUGUGUAAAAUGCCAUCAAAAAGUCAAUUAAGUGUUAUUCUUUCUCA